UCAUUGGUCUGGUUUGAGUCUAAGCUUGAUUGCAGGUCCGUUCCUCGAUCCGCUUAAAUUCAGCCUGUUUGACUAUGAAUCUACGAUACCCAUGGAAAUCACUCUUUUUUUUUGGAGGGGGGGGGGGUGCGCGGUGGGUGGGAGCGAGUUUGGUUCUCCCCUCCCUCCUUUUCCUCUCCCACCCCCUUGACAUUGCUGCUACCUCCCCCUCCUCCACCCAACUUGGCCAA
rnacentral:lncRNA from 1 species